UCGCUUGCUGUGUUUUACUAGGAUUUUAUCCUUAGGCCGGGCUGAAAUUUCAGCCCGGGAAACCGGGAUGAAACUCAGCCCGGGCUGAAAACUCUCCAUGUAAUCAGCCCCUUAAACGGUUUCUUUAUAAUAAAAUUUACUUACGUUAAGCUUUGAUGCACAUGUGGGUUCAGCAGAGUGCUGAGGCAUUCAAAUUCUAACAAUACGUUAUUUCAAUAGUUUUCGGGGUUUUUUGGGACACGCUGUAUUUGUUAAAGUAAAUUAUGCAAAAACCGUUUCGUUGCAUAAACAACUUAAAAGUUUCAAUUAUCAUUUGCAUUUCUAGUCAUCUCCUACUGCACGCUGUGUGUCAAGGAAUCCGUCUCGAUAUUCUUCAACAAAACGCCUUAAAUAGUGAAACGAAAUGGCUCAACACGUCGGGUCCUUUCACCUUAUCCUUUCAAAAAUGUGCUGGGGAAGUUUACUGCGAUAAAAUGGCUCGAACAAUCAUUACUUUGAGCUAUAUCUUACGCCUGUAUGGGACAUUAAGCUCAGACUCAUGCAGGAAUUUAUACGCCAAGCAUGUUGACUUUAACUGGAUCGAAGAAUGCCAGUUUAGAAACAUCUGUAUAAGCGUUGCUCAAGAAUGUCACGGGAAUGGAUCGAAAAGCUUAAUACAAAAAUAUUUGAGUUUGCUAACAAGAGCUUGGUUUUCAAGCAAAGCUUUUGUAAUACAGUACUGGGUAUGGUCACUCGCGGCAAUUUGGUAUUAAGACAUGGUAUUAUUGGAUGAAUUUUGUUUGGAGGUAGAUGUUUAAGAUCAUGAAUGCAUUUCUAAAUGUGUCGGAGUGUCUCAGAAAAAUGUCCUUUGGAUGAGAAUCAAAUACACAGACAUGCAGUCAGGUAAGAGACUGCAUUUGAGAUGUAUUGUUACAUGUUGGUGGUGUCACAAAAAUUUAAGCCUGGUUUCCAUAUGGUCGUAAAGAUUGAGUCACGAUUUUUCUCAUCAGCC
rnacentral:lncRNA from 1 species